rnacentral:snRNA from 1 species
AGCUUUGCACAGUGGCAGUAUCAUAGUCAAUGGGGUUUAUCUGAGGCACGAUUAUUGCUAAUUGAAUAAAUAAAUAAAUAAAUUUAACAUGUUAUUAAAUUUAAUUCUCACAACAACCCAGAAGUA